AGAGUUUGAUCCUGGCUCAGGACGAACGCUGGCGGCGUGCCUAACACAUGCAAGUCGAGCGGAGAGAGGCGGAUGGUAACUGAAGCUGAUCUUAGCGGCGGACGGGUGAGUAACACGUGGGCAACCUGCCCUGUACAGGGGGAUAACACAGAGAAAUUUGUGCUAAUACCGCAUAACAUCAUUGAGAUGCAUGUCUUGAUGAUCAAAGGAGCAAUCCGGUAUGGGAUGGGCCCGCGCCUGAUUAGCUAGUUGGUGAGGUAACGGCUCACCAAGGCGACGAUCAGUAGCCGACCUGAGAGGGUGAUCGGCCACACUGGAACUGAGACACGGUCCAGACUCCUACGGGAGGCAGCAGUGGGGAAUAUUGCGCAAUGGGGGAAACCCUGACGCAGCAACGCCGCGUGGAGGAAGAAGGUAUUCGUAUUGUAAACUCCUGUCUUCUGGGACGAAAAAAAUAACGGUACCGAGGAAGGAAGCCCCGGCUAACCUAGUGCCAGCAGCCGUGGUA
rnacentral:rRNA from 1 species